GACGAACGCUGGCGGCGUGCUUAACACAUGCAAGUCGAACGGAAAGACCCUGAUUUUGUGGGGUUCUCGAGUGGCGAAGGCGUGAGUAACACGUGUGUAACCUGCCCUUGUCUUUGGGAUAACUUCACGAAACUGGGGCUAAUAUCGGAUAGGAGCUACUGCAGCGUGGGGGGGGUUGGAAAGUUUCGGCGGUUGGGGAUGGAAUCGCGGCUUACCGGCUUGUUGGUGGGGUAGUGGCUUACCAAGCCUGUGACGGGUAGCCGGCCUUGGAGGGUGACCGGCCACAAGAGGACUGAGAGACGGCGCAGUCGCCUACGGGAGGCAACGGUGGGGAGUAUUGCACAAUGGGCGGAAGCGUGAGGCAGCAACGCUGCGUGCGUGAAGACGGCCUUCGGGUUGUAAACCGCUUUCGCCUGUGACGAAGCGUGAGUGACGGUAAUGGGUAAAGAAGCACCGGCUAACUACGUG
rnacentral:rRNA from 1 species